GACGUUCAGGUGCGAAAGCGUGGGGAGCAACCAGGAUUAGAUACCUUGGUAGUCCACGCCGUAAACGAUGUGGACUUGGAGGUUGUGCCCUUGAGGCGUGGCUUCCGGAGCUAACGCGUUAAUUCGACCGCCUGGGGAGUACGGCCCCAAGGUUAAAAUUCAAAUGAAUUGACGGGGGCCCGCCCAAGCGGUGGACCAUGUGGUUUAUUUGGAUGCAACGGGAAGACCCUUACCUACUCUUGACAUUCAGGGAACUUAGCAGAGAUGCUUUGGUGCCUUCGGGAACUGUGAGCCAGGUGCUGCAUGGCGGUCGUCAGCUCGUGUUGUGAAAUGUUGGGUUAAGUCCCGCAACGAGCGCAACCCUUUUCCUUUGUUGCCACCGGUUAGGCCGGGAACUCAAAGGAGACUGCCAGUGAUAAACUGGAGGAAGGUGGGGAUGACGUCAAGUCAUCAUGGCCCUUACGAGUAGGGCUACACACGUGCUACAAUGGCAUAUACAAAGAGAAGCGACCUCGCGAGAGCAAGCGGACCUCAUAAAGUAUGUCGUAGUCCGGAUUGGAGUCUGCAACUCGACUCCAUGAAGUCGGAAUCGCUAGUAAUCGUGGAUCAGAAUGCCACGGUGAAUACGUUCCCGGGCCUUGUACACACCGCCCGUCACACCAUGGGAGUGGGUUGCA
rnacentral:rRNA from 1 species